rnacentral:rRNA from 1 species
AUUGAACGCUGGCGGCAGGCUUAACACAUGCAAGUCGAGCGGGGGAAGGUAGCUUGCUACCGGACCUAGCGGCGGACGGGUGAGUAAUGCUUAGGAAUCUGCCUAUUAGUGGGGGACAACAUCUCGAAAGGGAUGCUAAUACCGCAUACGUCCUACGGGAGAAAGCAGGGGAUCUUCGGACCCUGCGCCAAUAGAUGAGCCUAAGUCGGAUUAGCUAGUUGGUGGGGUAAAGGCCUACCAAGGCGACGAUCUGUAGCGGGUCUGAGAGGAUGAUCCGCCACACUGGGACUGAGACACGGCCCAGACUCCUACGGGAGGCAGCAGUGGGGAAUAUUGGACAAUGGGGGGAACCCUGAUCCAGCCAUGCCGCGUGUGUGAAGAAGGCCUUAUGGUUGUAAAGCACUUUAAGCGAGGAGGAGGCUACUCUAGUUAAUACCUAGGGAUAGUGGACGUUACUCGCAGAAUAAGCACCGGCUAACUCUGUGCCAGCAGCCGCAGUAA